rnacentral:tRNA from 1 species
AGUGUGUUAACUCAAUGGGUAGAGUAUUGUGCUACGGACACAAAAGUUAUGAGUUCAAGUCUUAUACACACUU